CAAAGAUUUAACCACAAACCUCCACAGAGUCUGAUGGAUGAGAAGUGAUCGCUCACCCCUCGGACAGGCAGGGACCAAAAGCACUGAGUUCCCACAGGUGACCUUCCCCACAUUUACCUCUUUUGCAGAAGACACUGCAGUUUCAAGGAGCCAGCCCAUGAGGACUUACCAUUCACUAAAUAUUGUGUCUGCAUGAUGAAGGCACUGCAUAAAAACACCAGGGGAUGGAUGCAAACAAUGUGCUGGUGAGAGUGACAAUAAAACAGAGAUGACAGCAUAAAGAGAGA